UUUCUUUCAAUUCAUUCCAAAAACCUACAAAAUCAAGGGAUUCUAAUGUUAAAAUCAAAAAACAUGUCCUCAACUCUUUUAUUCUUAAAACUAAAGAAAAAUCAUGAGUCAAAAAAAGUUUCUAAGUCAACACGGGUUCAUUUGAUAUCAAAAUUAAGUAUAAAAAUAACGGUUUUUCAACCGUUAUCACGCACUUAGUGACUUUUUUAGGACAUUAUAUUGAAGGCGACG
rnacentral:lncRNA from 1 species